GAAUGGUGAAAUGAUGUUACCCCAAUCUUGAACUCUCUUUCUGAAUAAGUGAUGCAAGAUCUAAGAUCUGACCCAUUC
rnacentral:snoRNA from 1 species